rnacentral:rRNA from 1 species
ACGCUGGCGGUAUGCUUACACAUGCAAGUCGAACGGAGUAGCAAUACUUAGUGGCGGACGGGUGAGUAACGCGUAAGAAUCUAGCUUCAGGUUCGGGACAACAAUUUGGAAACGAUUGCUAAUACCGGAUAUGCCUACGGGUAAAAGGCUUGCUGCCCGAAGAAGAGCUUGCGUCCGAUUAGCUAGUUGGUGGGGUAAAGGCUUACCAAGGCGGCGAUCGGUAGCUGGUCUGAGAGGACGAUCAGCCACACUGGGACUGAGACACGGCCCAGACUCCUACGGGAGGCAGCAGUGGGGAAUUUUCCGCAAUGGGCGAAAGCCUGACGGAGCAAGACCGCGUGGGGGAAGAAGGCUCUUGGGUUGUAAACCCCUUUUCUCUGGGAAGAACGCAAUGACGGUACCAGAGGAAUCAGCAUCGGCUAACUCCGUGCCAGCAAGCCGCGGUAAGACGGAGGAUGCAAGCGUUAUCCGGAAUGAUUGGGC